CUGCCGCCCACCACCGCUCACUGCGUGCCUCUUCCUUAUCCACACACAACACACAACACACAAACAUCGGCCAUUCCACCUCCUCUUCUUCAUCCACCCCGAUCUAAGCCCACGAACAGCUUGGCCUAGCCUUCCCACCGUGCGCAGCCGUGGUGGCUGGCGGGGGCCAGGGCAGCAACCCCCCUGUCGGUGAGGAACCACGAGAGGACGCCAUGGAUGGCGGUUUGGAGCUGCGUCGCCCGAUCUGGCCGCCAGCCCAGUAUCUGAUCCCUGCGUCGGCUUCGGCUCGAUUCGGACGUCCAUAGCCUCCGCCACCUGUGCAUGCCCCCCCCUAGGUCCGGCCGAUGAUCUCGCGCCGCUUCGUCUGCUCGCGUUGACCCCGAGAAGGCCAACGCCUCGUCGUCCAGCCGCGGCCCGGCCUGUGACGGCGGCGGCGGCGGCAUCCCCGUGCCGUGGUGGUGGAGCUCUCCGGUGGGUGGCUGGGCGACAGGGGAUGCGGGGCUGGCUCGGUUGCUCGCCAGAUCGGCAGGCCUGUGUGGAGGCGCGGGAGGCGGUCUGGCGCAGCGCCUGCUGUGUGUCGUCCUCGGCAGCUGCCUGGCGGGAUGCGUUGUGGUGGUGCCGUGUGCACUGCGGCUGCCAAUGCAGGGAGGGAGAGGAGGGCGAUGCGAGCGGGUGCGGGUGGAUGCGGGUGACUCCUUUUUUUCCCCGACGAACCGUUAUUUUCACUUAUGCACGUGACUGCGGGUUAAUUACCAACAAACAAAGGGACUUUUCUGUAAAAACGCCGCCGACGUACGACAUAAACCCAAUUCUCUUUAUUAUUAGGUAAAGAGAGCAGAUAUAUUGCCUUUGAAUUUACUUCUAUCUGGAGAGGGACAGGUCUGUAGUAGAUUUGUUUUCAAAACAAAUCUCUAAGGUGAGGAUAGGGGUAGCGAUGGAGAAAUGGUGUAGAUGGUGGCUGAGAGGGAGGGGCCGAAAGAAAUACGUCCACAUUUGUAGCUAUAGAGUAACUGGUGAACACAUACUUUGCUUGUUUAUAUUUUCCAGAAUAGUACUCCCUCCGUCCGAAAAUACUUGUCAGAAAAAUGGAUAAAAAUGAAUAUAUCUAAAACUAAAAUAUGUCUAGAUACAUUCAUUUCUCCGACAAGUAUUUUUGGACAGAGGGAGUAUAAAGGAAUGGCGUGUGUCGUCUGUAACAUGCCCCCUUUGUUUGAAUAUUCAACCAGGAGCAAUUUCAUCUCAUUUGGCAACGAGCAUUGAGACGUUUUUUUGUUGUCAAAAAAGGUCUUAUAUUUUGACA